GAUGAACGCUGACAGAAUGCUUAACACAUGCAAGUCUACUUGAACUUCGGUUUGGGUGGCGGACGGGUGAGUAACGCGUAAAGAACUUGCCUCACAGUUAGGGACAACAUUUGGAAACGAAUGCUAAUACCUGAUAUUAUGAUUUUAGGGCAUCCUAAGAUUAUGAAAGCUAUAUGCGCUGUGAGAGAGCUUUGCGUCCCAUUAGCUAGUUGGAGAGGUAACGGCUCACCAAGGCGAUGAUGGGUAGCCGGCCUGAGAGGGUGAACGGCCACAAGGGGACUGAGACACGGCCCUUACUCCUACGGGAGGCAGCAGUGGGGAAUAUUGGACAAUGGACCAAAAGUCUGAUCCAGCAAUUCUGUGUGCACGAUGACGUUUUUCGGAAUGUAAAGUGCUUUCAGUUGGGAAGAAAAAAAUGACGGUACCAACAGAAGAAA
rnacentral:rRNA from 1 species